AGCCAGACUCCUACGGGAGGCAGCAGUGGGGAAUAUUGGGCAAUGGGCGCAAGCCUGACCCAGCAACGCCGCGUGAAGGAAGAAGGCUUUCGGGUUGUAAACUUCUUUUAAGAGGGAAGAGUAGAAGACGGUACCUCUUGAAUAAGCCACGGCUAACUACGUGCCAGCAGCCGCGGUAAUACGUAGGGGGCAAGCGUUAUCCGGAUUUACUGGGUGUAAAGGGGGCGCAGACGGCGAUGCAAGCCAGGAGUGAAAGCCCGGGGCCCAACCCCGGGACUGCUCUUGGAACUGCGUGGCUGGAGUGCAGGAGGGGCAGGCGGAAUUCCUGGUGUAGCGGUGAAAUGCGUAGAUAUCAGGAGGAACACCGGUGGCGAAGGCGGCCUGCUGGACUGCAACUGACGUUGUGGCUCGAAAGUGUGGGGAGCAAACAGGAUUAGAUACCCCUGUA
rnacentral:rRNA from 1 species